rnacentral:rRNA from 1 species
GACGAACGCUGGCGGCGUGCUUAACACAUGCAAGUCGAACGAUGAAGCCGGAGCUUGCUCUGGUGAAUUAGUGGCGAACGGGUGAGUAACACGUGAGUAACCUGCCCUUGACUCUGGGAUAACUGCUAGAAAUGGUAGCUAAUACCGGAUACGACCCUCGGAGGCAUCUCCAGGGGGUGGAAAGAAUUUCGGUCAAGGAUGUGACUCGCGGCCUAUCAGCUAGUUGGUGAGGUAACGGCUCACCAAGGCGACGACGGGUAGCCGGCCUGGGAGGGUGACCGGCCACACUGGGACUGAGACACUGCCCAGACUCAUACGGGAGGCAGCAGUGGGGAAUAGUGGACAAUGGGCGCAAGCCUGAUGCAGCAACGCCGCGUGAGGUAUGACGGCCUUCGGGUUGUAAACCUCUUUUAGUAGGGAAGAAGCGAAAGUGACGGUACCUGCAGAAAAAGCCCCGGCUAACUACGUGCCAGCCGCCGCAGUAAGAC